UACGGAGGGUGCAAGCGUUAAUCGGAAUUACUGGGCGUAAAGCGCACGCAGGUGGCUGAGAAAGUCGAUUGUGAAAGCCCUGGGCUUAACCUGGGAAUUGCAGUCGAAACUACUCGGCUAGAGUAUGGGAGAGGGUAGUGGAAUUCCCGGUGUAGCGGUGAAAUGCGUAGAUAUCAGGAGGAACAUCAGUGGCGAAGGCGGCUACCUGGCCCAAUACUGACACUCAGGUGCGACAGCGUGGGGAGCAAACAGG
rnacentral:rRNA from 1 species